AUCCUUCCAUCCCCACCCCAGGUCCAGCAGAGGCGAUGGCUGCGGCUUCCCAGUGCUCAGCACAAACUUGGCCUCAAGUUUCCUGGAAAUGACUUUAGCAGCUUUUGUGGCCCUGGCCUGGUGGCCUUGGGAGCAGCGUCCCUGAGUGGCAGUCACUUCUCAGUCAGGCAGAGGCUUCUGGCCCUGGAGCAUCCACUGGUUGGGGCACAGACAGAACAGAAGACAGUGGAUUAGCAGCGGGGCCUCCUGAGGCUGCUGGGGAGAACUCUGCCCCCUGCUCUGUGGCACCCGGCAAGUCCCUGUAACCUUGACAACAGGCGCAUCCUCCCAGGCCACCAACCCAGCCAUAGGCUCUUCUCUGUCCGCAGGGCUUCUGGGGCCAAAUGGGUGAAUCUUUGCUUUCAACAUUGUGUAAUUUCUUUCUUUUCUUUUUUUUUUUUUUUUAGAUAAGUAUAAGUUACUUUUGUAAGCAGAAAAAUACUUUCAAACAAGAAUAAAAGAAGCUGUUCGCUAGACCCCAUAA
rnacentral:sRNA from 1 species